rnacentral:rRNA from 1 species
ACGGGUGAGUAACGCGUAAUCAACCUGCCCUUCAGAGGGGGACAACAGUUGGAAACGACUGCUAAUACCGCAUACGAUCCAACCUCGGCAUCGAGGAUGGAUGAAAGGUGGCCUCUAUUUAUAAGCUAUCACUGAAGGAGGGGAUUGCGUCUGAUUAGCUAGUUGGUGAGGUAACGGCUCACCAAGGCGACGAUACAUAGCCGACCUGAGAGGGUGAUCGGCCACACUGGGACUGAGACACGGCCCAGACUCCUACGGGAGGCAGCAGUAGGGAAUCUUCGGCAAUGGACGGAAGUCUGACCGAGCAACGCCGCGUGAGUGAAGAAGGUUUUCGGAUCGUAAAGCUCUGUUGUAAGUCAAGAACGAGUGUGAGAGUGGAAAGUUCACACUGUGACGGUAGCUUACCAGAAAGGGACGGCUAACUACGUGCCAGCAGCCGCGGUAAUACGUAGGUCCCGAGCGUUGUCCGGAUUUAUUGGGCGUAAAGCAAGCGCAGGCGGUUUGAUAAGUCUGAAGUUAAAGGCUGUGGCUCAACCAUAGUUCGCUUUGGAAACUGUCAAACUUGAGUGCAGAAGGGGAGAGUGGAAUUCCAUGUGUAGCGGUGAAAUGCGUAGAUAUAUGGAGGAACACCGGUGGCGAAAGCGGCUCUCUGGUCUGUAACUGACGCUGAGGCUCGAAAGCGUGGGGAGCGAACAGGAUUAGAUACCCUGGUAGUCCACGCCGUAAAC